CCCUUAGAUGUUCUGGGCUGCACGCGCGCUACACUGAUGCACUCAACGAGUUUACGACCUUGUCCGAGAGGAUUGGGUAAUCUUUUUAAAAUGCAUCGUGAUGGGGAUAGAUUAUUGCAAUUAUUAAUCUUCAACGAGGAAUUCCUAGUAAACGCGAGUCAUCAGCUCGCAUUGAUUACGUCCCUGCCCUUUGUACACACCGCCCGUCGCACCUACCGAUUGAAUGUUUCGGUGAAGAUUCCGGAUAGGACUUUUUUGAUUUAUUUCAAUUUUGUCUUAAAAGCUAUCUAAACCUCAACAUUUAGAGGAAGGUGAAGUCGUAACA
rnacentral:rRNA from 1 species